CCCUUGUGGAGGAGGACGCCGAAGGUGGGGCUAAUGACUGGGGUGAAGUCGUAACAAGGUAGCCGUACCGGAAGGUGCGGCUGGAUCACCUCCUAACAGGGAGACAACAAAAUGUUAAAUAUUAAUUUUGUCACCUUAGGUCGAUCGGUAUCUCACAUUCUUAAAUUAAUUUAAGGAUUUUAUUUCCUAAGUUUUUUCUAGGUCACACCCAUUACUUUUUCCUGGGCCAUUAGCUCAGGUGGUUAGAGCGCACCCCUGAUAAGGGUGAGGUCCCUGGUUCAAGUCCAGGAUGGCCCAUAUCUCUAUGUUGGGGGUAUAGCUCAGUUGGUAGAGCGCCUGCUUUGCAAGCAGGAUGUCAGCGGUUCGAGUCCGCUUACCUCCACUGAUCACCACCUCUUCCAUAAUUUUAUAGAAGGGAAUUGUUUUGAGUUGUGAUCAAAUUCUGAACGAAUCUAGCUUCCUAAUCAAACUUAUUAAGAUGCUGGACUCAUUGAAUUAAUUUCAUUGUUUUCAGAGAACCUUGACAACUGCAUAGAUUAUUUUUAAAGACAAUAAGCAUCUUUAAUGAUGCAGAUUUAUUAUUUGUGCGAUUGCAUUAAUAACAAUUCUAUUAAGCUGAUGCUUCAAUUUUUGAAGUUAUUGGUCAAGCUACAAAGGGCUCACGGAGGAUACCUAGGCACACAGAGGC
rnacentral:misc_RNA from 1 species